GCCAGACUCCUACGGGAGGCAGCAGUGAGGAAUAUUGGUCAAUGGACGCAAGUCUGAACCAGCCAAGUAGCGUGCAGGAUGACGGCCCUCCGGGUUGUAAACUGCUUUUAGUUGGGAAUAAAAGGGGGCUCGUGAGCCCCGUAUUGUAUGUACCAUCAGAAAAAGGACCGGCUAAUUCCGUGCCAGCAGCCGCGGUAAUACGGAGGAUGCGAGCGUUAUCCGGAUUUAUUGGGUUUAAAGGGUGCGUAGACGGGAAGGCAAGUUGGUUGUGAAAUCCCUCGGCUUAACUGAGGAACUGCAACCAAAACUAUCUUUCUUGAGUGCUGGAGAGGAAAGUGGAAUUCCUAGUGUAGCGGUGAAAUGCGUAGAUAUUAGGAGGAACACCAGUGGCGAAGGCGACUUUCUGGACAGUAACUGACGUUGAGGCACGAAAGUGUGGGGAGCAAACAGGAUUAGAUACCCGAGUA
rnacentral:rRNA from 1 species